rnacentral:ncRNA from 1 species
GUGAGCCGUGUGAUGGGAAACCUUCCCGCACGGUUCGGAGAGCACUGAAGACAAAUGAGAGGUUCACCACCACAUCAUUGCAAGGGGAGCUCGCUCGAUUCGCAGAUUGGUCUGACUCGUAAUUCACUUUUGACUCCGU